rnacentral:lncRNA from 10 species
GACGUUUUCCCUUCCAUUCCCUCCUGCGUUUUGGAAAUAGGACUGAACACAUAGAACCACAUUUCAAAGAAAUGCUUCCCUUUCACUAAACUCUGUUCUCCACAGGGUACAAAAUAACCCAAACUAAAUAUCAUUGUCCCCUGUCUAGGGCAGGGACAUCUAGAUUUUACAAACUAAACUCAAAGUCAUAUAAACCCAUCUACAUAUAUCUAUCACCAAACAGAGAAGAUUGGCUCUGCUCCUCAGUACUUCUGAUCCUGGAAGGAAGGCUGUUAUAUGACGACACCAUCUCUUUAAAAGCAAAGUCUCACCCUGGCGUGGUGGCUCACGCCUGUAAUCGCAGCACUUUGGGAGGCCGAGGCAGGCGGAUCGCUUGAGGUCAGGAGUUUGACCAGCCUGACUAACACGGUGAAACCCCAUCUCUACUAAAAAGCUGGGCAUGGUGGCAGCUACUUAUUAGCUGGGUGUGGUGGCACGUCUGUAAUCUCAGCUACUCAGGAGGCUGAGGCAGGAGAAUUGCUUGAACCUGGGAGAUGGACGUUGGUUGCAGUGAGCUGAGAUUGCGCCAUUGUACUCCAGCCUGGGCGGCAGAGGGAGACUCCAU